rnacentral:rRNA from 1 species
GAUGAACCCUGGCGGCGUGCCUAACACAUGCAAGUCGAACGAAGCACCUUACUUGAUUCUUCGGAUGAAGGUCUGGUGACUGAGUGGCGGACGGGUGAGUAACGCGUGGGUAACCUGCCCUGUACAGGGGGAUAACAGCUGGAAACGGCUGCUAAUACCGCAUAAGCGCACGAGGAGACAUCUCCUUGUGUGAAAAACUCCGGUGGUACAGGAUGGGCCCGCGUCUGAUUAGCUGGUUGGCAGGGUAACGGCCUACCAAGGCAACGAUCAGUAGCCGGUCUGAGAGGAUGAACGGCCACAUUGGAACUGAGACACGGUCCAAACUCCUACGGGAGGCAGCAGUGGGGAAUAUUGCACAAUGGGGGAAACCCUGAUGCAGCAACGCCGCGUGAGUGAAGAAGUAUUUCGGUAUGUAAAGCUCUAUCAGCAGGGAAGAUAAUGACGGUACCUGACUAAGAAGCUCCGGCUAAAUACGUGCCAGCAGCCGCGGUAAUACGUAUGGAGCAAGCGUUAUCCGGAUUUACUGGGUGUAAAGGGUGCGUAGGUGGCAGUGCAAGUCAGAUGUGAAAGGCCGGGGCUCAACCCCGGAGCUGCAUUUGAAACUGCUCGGCUAGAGUACAGGAGAGGCAGGCGGAAUUCCUAGUGUAGCGGUGAAAUGCGUAGAUAUUAGGAGGAACACCAGUGGCGAAGGCGGCCUGCUGGACUGUUACUGACACUGAGGCACGAAAGCGUGGGGAGCAAACAGGAUUAGAUACCCUGGUAGUCCACGCCGUAAA